ACAAAGGGGAGUGGGGUGCUGACCUGAGUAAAUAUGGAAAUGAGUGGAGUCUGUAAAACUGAAGGCAUAAGGAACUGCACAUAAGCAUUGUGCUCUAAUUGAUGAUAGAGUUCAUGAUUCUGAUGCUGCUAUACAAGCAUAAUGGAACCAAAUAGUAUUAAGGAAAUGGAGAGAAGAAGAGUAACUUCAUGGUGAAGAAACUUGGCAAACACUGUCUCAGGCAGGUGAAUCAUGACGAAAACAUCAGGCAAAUUCCAAUAGAGGGAUAACCCACAAAAUACCUGGCCAGUACUCCUCAAAAUUGUCAAGGUGUCAAAAACAAGGGAAGUCUGAGAAACUGGCAGGGCCAAGAGGAGCCUAAGGAGACAUGAGGACUAAAUGUAAUGUGGUGUCCUGAAUGGGCCCUGGAACACAAAAAGAAAUUCGGUAAAAACUAAGGAAAUCUGAAUAAGCUGUGAACUUUCAUUAAUAUUAAUGUAUCAGUAUUGAUUCAUUAAAUGUAAUAAUACUAAGGUAAAAUACUAAUAAUAGGUGAAAUUGAAUGUGGUGGUAUAUGGGAACUCUCUGUACCAUCUUAAUGUA